AACGUAGGUGGCAAGCGUUAUCCGGAUUUACUGGGCGUAAAGCAUGUGCAGACGGGUUGGUAAGUGGUGUAUGAAAACGUCCGGCUUAACCGGGCAAGCGUAUGCCAGACUGCCAGUCUUGAGAGUGGGAGAGGGAUGCAGAAUUCCAGGUGUAGCGGUGAAAUGCGUAGAUAAUCUGGAGGAAUACCGGUGGCGAAGGCGGCAGUCCUGGGACCGGCAUUGACGCUGACUGAGCGAAAGCUAGGGGAGCAAACGGG
rnacentral:rRNA from 1 species